rnacentral:rRNA from 1 species
CCUACGGGGGGCUGCAGUGGGGAAUAUUGGACAAUGGGCGAAAGCCUGAUCCAGCCAUGCCGCGUGUGUGAAGAAGGCCUUCGGGUUGUAAAGCACUUUCAGUGGGGAAGAAAGCCUUGGGGCUAAUACCCUCGAGGAAGGACAUCACCCACAGAAGAAGCACCGGCUAACUCCAUGCCAGCAGCCGCGGUAAUACGGAGGGUGCGAGCGUUAAUCGGAAUUACUGGGCGUAAAGCGCGCGUAGGCGGUCUGAUAAGCCGGUUGUGAAAGCCCCGGGCUCAACCUGGGAACGGCAUCCGGAACUGUCAGGCUAGAGUGCAGGAGAGGAAGGUAGAAUUCCCGGUGUAGCGGUGAAAUGCGUAGAGAUCGGGAGGAAUACCAGUGGCGAAGGCGGCCUUCUGGACUGACACUGACGCUGAGGUGCGAAAGCGUGGGUAGCAAACAGGAUUAGAUACCCCUGUAGUC